rnacentral:rRNA from 1 species
GACGAACGCUGGCGGCGUGCUUAACACAUGCAAGUCGAACGGAAAGGCCCCGCUUUUGUGGGGUGCUCGAGUGGCGAACGGGUGAGUAACACGUGAGUAACCUGCCCUUGACUUUGGGAUAACUUCAGGAAACUGGGGCUAAUACCGGAUAGGAGCUCCUGUUGCAUGGUGGGGGUUGGAAAGUUUCGGCGGUUGGGGAUGGACGCGCGGCUGAUCAGCUUGUUGGUGGGGGAGUGGCUUACCAAGGCUUUGACGGGUAGCCGGCCUGAGAGGGUGACCGGCCACAUUGGGACUGAGAUACGGACCAGACUCCUACGGGAGGCAGCAGUGGGGAAUAUUGCACAAUGGGCGGAAGCGUGAUGCAGCAACGCCGCGUGCGGGAUGACGGCCUUCGGGUUGUAAACCGCUUUCGCCUGUGACGAAGCGUGAGUGACGGUAAUGGGUAAAGAAGCACCGGCUAACUACGUG